AUGGCCUUCUUCGUGGCCCCCGGCAGGAACUUCUCCGGCGCCAUGCCGGGCAGUUUCCUGGGCCUCUUCAACGCCUCGACCAACGGCCGCCCCGACAACCGCAUCUUCGUGGCUGAGCUCGACACCUUUGGCAACGGGGAGUUCAAGGACAUAGAUAGCAACCAUGUGGGCAUCGACGUCAACUGGUUAGUCUCCAUUGAAGCCCACACGGCUGGUUUCUAUGAUGACAAGACUGGUAGCUUCACAAACUUAUCUCUGAAUAGUGGGGAUCCGAUGCAACUGUGGAUCGAAUAUGAUGCACAGAUCACACAGAUCGUGUCGACCUUGGCUCCCCUCGGUGCUGCCAAGCCUCGCAGGCCAUUGUUCACCGCCAUCACCAACCUCUCCGAUGUGCUGGAGGACCCGUCUUUUGUUGGCUUCUCCGGCUCAUCUGGCUCACUCAGCACACACUACUCCGUGCUUGGUUGGAGCUUUGGCGUGGAUGGCCCUGCCCCGGCAAUCAACAUCACAAAUUUGCCCAAGUUGUUUCGUGGUCGUCAGGAGGCUCGAUCCAAAGUCUAG
rnacentral:rRNA from 1 species